rnacentral:lncRNA from 1 species
UUUUUGGGAAAAAUUAAAGCCCAAGCUCCACACGGCCAAGGACACGCCCGUGUGUCUAGGCCGUGUGGUUUUUAAAAAUAUUUUUUUAUUAAUUAAUUUUUAAAAAUAUAAUGUGAGUUAAAAUUAAGAAUUUAACAGUGUUAGCACUCAGGUUGCCUCCCGAGAAGCGCUUAUUUAAAGUCUAAGCUUGACUUACCUCGUAUUUGCAUGGUCACGGUGGUUCACGAAGUCGAAACUCCUCUUUC